UAAGCAUAUCAAUAAGCGGAGGAAAAGAAACUAACAAGGAUUCCCCUAGUAACUGCGAGUGAAGCGGGAAAAGCUCAAAUUUAAAAUCUGGCGGUCAUGCCGUCCGAGUUGUAAUCUGGAGAAGCGUUUUCCGUGUUGGACCGUGUACAAGUCUCUUGGAACAGAGCGUCAUAGAGGGUGAGAAUCCCGUCUUUGACACGGACUACCAAUGCUUUGUGAUACGCUCUCAAAGAGUCGAGUUGUUUGGGAAUGCAGCUCAAAAUGGGUGGUAAAUGCCAUCUAAAGCUAAAUAUUGGCGAGAGACCGAUAGCGAACAAGUACCGUGAGGGAAAGAUGAAAAGCACUUUGGAAAGAGAGUUAAACAGUACGUGAAAUUGUUGAAAGGGAAACGCUUGAAGUCAGUCGCGUUGUCUGGGACUCAGCCUUGCUUCUGCAUGGUGUAUUUCCUGGUUAACGGGCCAACAUCGAUUUUGGUCGGUGGAUAAAGUCAAGAGGAAUGUGGCACCUUCGGGUGUGUUAUAGCCUCUUGUCGGAUGCAUCGACUGGGAUCGAGGAUCGCAGCACGCCUUUUUGGCCGGGGUUCGCCCACGUAACGUGCUUAGGAUGUUGGCAUAAUGGCUUUAAUCGACCCGUCUUGAAACACGGACCAAGGAGUCUAACAUGCCCGCGAGUGUUAGGGUGGAAAACCCUUGCGCGUAAUGAAAGUGAAAGUUGGGACCUCUGUCAUGGGGGGCACYGACGCCCGGCCUUGAACUUCUGUGACGGCGCCGCGGUAGAGCGUGUAUGUUGGGACCCGAAAGAUGGUGAACUAUGCCUGAAUAGGGCGAAGCCAGAGGAAACUCUGGUGGAGGCUCGUAGCGAUUCUGACGUGCAAAUCGAUCGUCAAAUUUGGGUAUAGGGGCGAAAGACUAAUCGA
rnacentral:rRNA from 1 species